UACGUAGGGUGCGAGCGUUGUCCGGAAUUAUUGGGCGUAAAGGGCUCGUAGGCGGUUUGUCGCGUCGGGAGUGAAAACCCAGGGCUUAACCCUGGGCUGGCUUUCGAUACGGGCAGACUAGAGGUAUGCAGGGGAGAACGGAAUUCCUGGUGUAGCGGUGAAAUGCGUAGAUAUCAGGAGGAACACCGGUGGCGAAGGCGCACAUCUGGCCCGAUACUGACGCUGAGGCGCGAAAGCUAGGGGAGCAAACGGG
rnacentral:rRNA from 1 species